rnacentral:rRNA from 1 species
AAUAGAUACCCAGGUAGUCCUAGCCGUAAACGAUACUCGCUAGGUGUCGGCCACGGUGCGACCGUUGUCGGUGCCGUAGGGAAGCCGUGAAGCGAGCCACCUGGGAAGUACGGCCGCAAGGCUGAAACUUAAAGGAAUUGGCGGGGGAGCACCACAACGGGUGGAGCUUGCGGUUUAAUUGGAUUCAACGCCGGAAAUCUUACCGGGACCGACAGCAAUAUGAAGGCCAGGCUGAAGACUUUGCCGGAUUAGCUGAGAGGUGGUGCAUGGCCGUCGUCAGUUCGUACUGUGAAGCAUCCUGUUAAGUCAGGCAACGAGCGAGACCCACGCCCACAGUUGCCAGCGUACUCUCCGGAGUGACGGGUACACUGUGGGGACCGCCGCUGCUAAAGCGGAGGAAGGAAUGGGCAACGGUAGGUCAGUAUGCCCCGAAUAUCCCGGGCUACACGCGAGCUACAAUGGUUGGUACAAUGGGUAUCUACCCCGAAAGGGGAUGGAAAUCUCCUAAAGCCAAUCUUAGUUCGGAUUGAGGGCUGCAACUCG